ensembl:lncRNA
GGGAGUCCCCUGAGGGAAUCUGGCGGAACAUUCUGGAUUGUAUUUUAGUAACCUCGAGGCGUUGCCAACGGGAAUUGUUGCUCCCUAUCUUAAACAACUAAAGUUUGAUAUUAAAUACAUACUGAGACGUACGUCGUACAAUAUGUUGAUAAUUUCCGAUGGUUGCGCCGUACUUUUAACCACGAUGACGUUGCGGGACUCUCUGCGUUCAAAACCGCGUUCUACUUGCGGGCCCAUUUUUGACAUCAGGGAAGGCUGAAAAUCAUUUCAAGGUGGAAGAUAAUUUGACAUUUCUUCAACGGAACCCAGCACCUGAAUAUGGCUGAGUAUAUUUGAUUUAAUAUCGAUACUGCUUAGUGUUCUUUGUUACUUCAGAUUUUGUACGCUCUAAAUAUCUGCUGUCAUUAAUUGCAACAGAAGUUAAACCCUGCCCAAUGGAAUGACGUUAAACAACGAACUUGGUGCAGACUUACCAACUGGAUAAUAUCAAAGCUAAAAUAAUGGCCGUCAUUCCCACAUGUUACAAUAGAAGAAACUCUAGAACUGUUCAAGAUUAAAAAGGUAACAUGUAGUUUGUCCCAAGGUCUCUGCCUCCUCACCCAGAGCAAGACCUCCACCUCCUCACCCAGAGCCAGACCUCCACCUCCUCACCCAGUGCCAGACCUCCACCUCCUCACCCAGAGCCAGACCUCCACCUCCUGUCAGAAGUCCUCCAGAACAGGCGAGGCUGAGAGGCUGAGGACCGGAGGCUUGUGGUGCCAGGAUGGACCGGAGACUGAGGCUGGAGACCAGGGGCCUGCAGCACCGGACCAGAGGAACGUGUUUCUGGAGCGGAGGCGAGCUGGCAGGGGAGCCGUGAAUCUGGAGGAUGACCAUCAAUCUACCAACAAGGAUUACCAAGACUCUGGCUGAGGAGAGCUGAUGGAGGAGCCAAGACUCUGGAGGACGACAUCACUCCACCAACGAGGAUCCUCACAAAUUACGUUUGUAACCAGACCAGGAAUCUGGAGGACUGAUGGAGAAGCCGUACAUCUGGAAGGCAAAUCCUGAGGACCACCAUGACCAUCAAGGAUUCCUCAUAAAUGUGCAUUAUCUGGACAUAGUGGACUAGACACACCUGAGCUGAACCUCACCUGAUCCUGUUUGGUCGGGGGUAGACACACCUGAGCUAAACCCGCCCUGAUCCUGACAUCCUGCUGGUCCCGUCUCCUCAGUUCAUCUGAGCCUCGUCCUCCACAAGACCUGCUGAGCUCUGAGGCUGAUGGAUCAAUGACCUCCAGUGGGAGUGAUCUUCUUGACCCCACAUGUAACUGUGUGCUUCCACACGCCUUUCCCUCACGUCUGUCACUAACCUCACUACUUCAGUACUCUCUACUGCUUCCUCUUUUCUUCCUUCUCUGUGGUUCAAACCUUUACACUGAAGGCGCGUCUUCCUGCCCUCAGAGGGUUUAAUGUUAGGGUUGAGAGUCAGGGUUUAGAGUUAGGGACAGAGCUGGUCAGGGAGGACUGCUUUUACACACACCUCUUCACUUGCUUUCGGACUGGUGGUGACAUUUUGAAAAGAUUCAUUUGGGAAAAUGUUUUCCUCUGCUUUCCUUUACAAAUUGUAUUCAACUUCUGUCAAGUGUUUUUGUUUAUAUAUUAAAAUCCCACAUUGACUUCUACAUGUUUGUUGCGGUUCAUUUUAUUGUCCUUUAACUUGGUUAAUGUCAAGCUAAACUCCUGCAAUACAUUUAAUAUACAUGAUUGUUAUUCUGCAAUGUUCACAUGAUCCAUUUUGUAAAAAUAUGAAACCUCUAUAUUACUACUAAAUUCAAGCCUAUUCAUGUGUUUAACAAUGUACAUUCUCUGCU